CUACGGGUUGCAGCAGUGAGGAAUAUUGCGCAAUGGACGAAAGUCUGACGCAGCCAUGCCGCGUGCAGGAUGACGGCGCUAUGCGUUGUAAACUGCUUUUAUAGGCCAAGAAACCUUCGGACGUGUCCGAAGCUGACGGUAGCAUAUGAAUAAGCACCGGCUAACUCCGUGCCAGCAGCCGCGGUAAUACGGAGGGUGCAAGCGUUAUCCGGAUUUAUUGGGUUUAAAGGGUCCGUAGGCGGAUCAUUAAGUCAGUGGUGAAAGCCGGCAGCUCAACUGUCGAACUGCCAUUGAUACUGGUGAUCUUGAAUACGGUUGAAGUUGGCGGAAUAGGUCAUGUAGCGGUGAAAUGCUUAGAUAUGACCUAGAACACCGAUUGCGAAGGCAGCCAACUAAGCCGUUAUUGACGCUGAGGGACGAAAGCGUGGGGAGCAAACAGGAUUAGAUACCCCUGUAGUC
rnacentral:rRNA from 1 species